ACGCUCGACACCUACGGGAGGCGGCAGUGGGGAAUAUUGGGCAAUGGGCGCAAGCCUGACCCAGCAACGCCGCGUGAAGGAAGAAGGCCCUCGGGUUGUAAACUUCUUUUGUCAGGGACGAAGCAAGUGACGGUACCUGACGAAUAAGCCACGGCUAACUACGUACCAGCAGCCGCGGUAAUCUGAGCGGGCUGGCAAGGC
rnacentral:rRNA from 1 species